GGGAGUUUGGCCGAGUGGUUAAGGCGCUGUGUUUAGGCUUAAUCUCUUCGAUGAGGUUAUACCAUAAAUCCCGCAGUGGGAAACCGCGCAGGUUCGAAUCCUGCAGCUCUCA